rnacentral:rRNA from 1 species
UGAGGAAUAUUGGUCAAUGGACGCAAGUCUGAACCAGCCAAGUAGCGUGCAGGAUGACGGCCCUAUGGGUUGUAAACUGCUUUUAUGUGGGAAUAAAGUGGCGCACGUGUGCGCCAUUGCAUGUACCUCAUGAAUAAGGACCGGCUAAUUCCGUGCCAGCAGCCGCGGUAAUACGGAAGGUCCGGGCGUUAUCCGGAUUUAUUGGGUUUAAAGGGAGUGUAGGCGGUCUGUUAAGCGUGUUGUGAAAUUUAGGUGCUCAACAUUUAACUUGCAGCGCGAACUGUCAGACUUGAGUACACGCAGCGCAGGCGGAAUUCAUGGUGUAGCGGUGAAAUGCUUAGAUAUCAUGAGGAACUCCGAUCGCGAAGGCAGCCUGCGGGAGUGUUACUGACGCUUAAGCUCGAAGGUGCGGGUAUCGAACAGGAUUAGAUACCCUGGUAGUCCGCACAGUAAACGAUGGAUGCCCGCCGUUGGCGCCCUGCGCCCGCGGCCAAGCGAAAGCAUUAAGCAUCCCACCUGGGGAGUACGCCGGCAACGGUG